CACACACCCGGGAGUGUGAAGGAGCAAGUGCCGACAGCUACAACCGCGAUUCAGAGGUUCUUGAAAGGGUUGCUGUUGUUUCUGGACAGUCAUCCUGGGCGGCUGUCCCCAGGCCAGCGAGGCCGACUGCUUAGCCUGCAGCCUGGGCCGCACUCCUGAGACACUCUGCCCCCAUCUGACUGGCCACGUGCCCUCUCGCUCCUCAGUGGCAAAGGAGGAAGAGGCAGUGAGAUGGCAAAUAGGCAAGGCCACCAUCAGUCAUUGUCGUCACUGUCACCAUCGUCUUGCAGAUCAGCCACAAUCCUGCCUGCACAGAACAGGUGAUCUUCCUCCUGCUCCCUCUUCCAUUUGGAAUACUGCCGUCACCACCUGUGCAGUCUCUCCGACCAGAAACCUCAGUGUCAUCCUGAUUCAUCCCCUCCCUCAGCCUCCUCAUCGAAUGAGUCACAGAGAGAUUUUACUGGAAGAUAAUUCCCAGCAUGUGCUUGCUGAGUCCUCUCAGACUUGUUUCUGAAAUCUGACUUCCUACCCUUCACUCCAUUGCCCCUCUCUGUUCAGCUCCUCACCUUUCCCUUGAGCUACUGCACCAGUCCAGCCACCCUCUCCCUUCCACCAACCUCUCCCCUUGCGUGGGCCUCAGUGUGUCCUGCUGAAAUACGCACAUUGACAUCCUAACCCCCAAGAAAAUAGUUGGAGAAAUCUAAGGUUGAAAACAACAUAUGUUCUCUAUAUUAAAACGUCAAGAGCUGUACUGAGGAAGUUUGUGGAGUGGGUGGUAG
rnacentral:lncRNA from 1 species